GAAAUGCGAUAGCUAGUGUGAAUUGCAGAGUUUAGUGAAUCAUCGAGUCUUUGAACGCACAUUGCGCCUACUGGCAUUCCGGCAGGCAUGCCUGUUCGAGCGUUAUUUGUUCCCUCGGGCCCAGCCCGGCGUUGGGAGGCCGCAGCCCUAACUGCGCCCCCUAAAACUUAGCGGCGGUACGCCCUAGCGCCCCCUACGAAGUAGCUCUACUCGUACCGGGACUAUAGCGUUCCUGCCACCUAGAGCCCUAGCGGUAUAGCGAAGUUGACCUCGAAUCAGGUAGGAAUACCCGCUGAACUUAA
rnacentral:misc_RNA from 1 species